UCAUUUUAUAUUUUCAUUGCAUACAACAGGGGAUGCAUACAACAGGGGAUACAGUCCCGAACUUUUCUAUCAUUACAUAUUCAUUAUCAACAAAGUGCAACUUCAGACAAUAUGGGCCUCCGAGACUUCUUAACUCGGUCUUGAUCCUCAGGAGCAUCAAUCCUCUUCGACAAUGAACUGAAUAAAGACCGAAAUAUAUAAGUUUUGAACCUUGAUAUCAAGCUCUUCAUUGCGCUGACGCUUCUGUGAUCCCCCUCAACAUGGAGAUGCAAAAUAGGAGAACCAGAUUCUAAACAAACAACUCCUUUUACGUUUUCACUUCUUGCCUCGCGCUGCUCUUCUGUAACAUGCAGGAAAAAUAGAAUGGACCGAUGGGAUCUACUCCCGUCAUAAACUCAGAUCCCGCUCAGUGCACAAACGUCUCAUCAACUCAUAAGCGGAGGGCACAUCAUGCUAGGGAUGACCUUUCCAGUUUCUCUCCAUUAUCCUUCUUGCCAGGGAAACUUGCUUCCCAACUGCAGAGACGAACGCUUUGCCCUUCCCUCCAGCACCUCUCUCUGUGGCAGACAUAUUCGCUCGGAUCGCGCGGGAAGUUGAACAGAAUAACAUGGUCCACUCCAGUAAAGUCGAGUCCUCGUAACGACCUGUUAUAUGGUUGAAAAAUCAUCAGGAUCUUGCAAAUGCCUAAGGAAAGAUGAGAGUGACAUGUCUUAGGUAAAUUCAUGUGUAUCCAGUGACCCUGCUCUGCCUUUCGUUUGACCAUGUUGCAAACAGUGCCGUUAAAAUCACUAGGCGCUGUUAAGAGACUUAGACCCCACAGUGCCUCAGGCACUAGACCGAACAAUGAGAGGUGCCAAGUAAGAAGUGGGGAUUAAUCCAUCAACAAACAAAUUAUUAGGUCUUUCAUACUUAGAAUCACAAGUUAUUCGAGGUCUGCAUCAUAGCACAAAUUGCACUGGUNNNNNNNNNNNNNNNNNNNNNNNNNNNNNNNNNNNNNNNNNNNNNNNNNNNNNNNNNNNNNNNNNNNNNNNNNNNNNNNNNNNNNNNNNNNNNNNNNNNNUCCACCGGCAAACACCUAAUAAUCCAAUUGUGGCUUGGGCGAGGGUUGCCCUCGCCCAAGCGACCCUUGCCGGGUCGCGGUUGGGCGAGGGCUGCCCUCGCCAGAGCUCCUCCUAGCCUGGCCGGGCCUCACUUGUGGAGGGAGAGGCCAGCCGGCUGGCUGUGGCCGGUGACUGGCCGUUGCCAGUGGCCGGUGGCCGGCCACUGGAAAAGGGAAAAAAAAAAGAAAAUAAUAAUAAUAAAAAAUAAAAAUAAAAAUCAAAAAAUAUUAAAAUAUUAUUAAAAAUUGUCCACAUCAAACACCGGCGGUCCUACAUGGCACCGCCGGUGUCCAUGUCAGCAUUUUCCGGCCAAAAUUGGCCAAAUGGACUAAAUUGGCAAUAAGUGAAAAGGUUUAUGACUCAAUUGACAAAGUUAAAAGGUUUAGGACUGAAUUGGCAAAAGUGCAAUAAGUUUAUGACUUUUUGGACAAUUUUCCCGUUUUAAGUACCUCACUUAGGGCAAAAGCAUUUUUUGUUUUCCAAAUUAGAGCAAACUCUGCGAGGGUGAUCCUUCUGGAGUUUCGGGCUGGAUCGACUCUAGUUAGGUUUCAGACCUUUAGGCGAUGCUCAUAUCAAAUCGUGUUUAUAAAUUCUUCCAAGGAAGAAAAAUUUUAUGGUUGAAACGUGCAAAUACUAAGCAAGUCUAAUGGUUAAAAUGCCCCUUAUGCUGUAAAACCACAGAGACUAAGGACGUUAGCAGAAUAAUAACUUACCGAAGCUAAUCAUUUAACAAAUAUUAAACACCUAUUGAAAAUGAAUCUCAAUGCAAAACCAACCCUUCAUGUAAAUUUUAGAUUACAUGCCUUAAACUAAGAUUAACUUGUAAAAUGUCAUGCACAAUUUCCAAAAGAAUAAUUACCAAAAAGGUCAUUAACCUAUUGGACAUAUGUCAUUACAAUCAAUAACCUUUCAAUUUGAUCACAUUUAAUCAUAAACAUUUUAAGAAUUUGUCAAUAUAGUCAUUUCAGCCAAUUUUAGGCGAAAAUAAUUAAUGGGGAUACUAGCCAUCUUACAUGGCAUAGUGCUAAUAUAAAUAUUUUUUUAUAAUUUAAAAAAAAGUGAAUUUUUUUUUUUUUUCAUAAUUUUCGCCACACCCCUCUAGCCAACGAGGGCUCACAGGCCUUCGUCUAGUGGCCGUUGCUGGCCACGAUGAAAAAACAGAACAGAAAAUUUAUACAUCGGCAGGAUGGUUAGUGUUUAUUUCCACCGGACAAUGACGCCAUCCCGUUUUCUCGCGACUGCAGGUCAGCUCGCCGCUCGCCGCCGACGACCUCGAAGAGCAGCAGUCGGCGAUUUUCGUUGACGGAUCCAGUCAUCGUUCAAAGUCGGCCUCGAUGGAGCUUGAUAUCUCCGGAUUCGAUACGCCUUCUCCAAGAAGGUGACGGUCGCAGUGCACCACCAUCGUCACCGGCUGCGCAACGGAGUCAGCUCUCUCUGGCUUUUUCAUCUGGCUGAGUUCUCCACCAGCAUUGACAGGGCUCUCGCGAAUGAUCCGGUCGAGCUAGAGUUCACUCUCUCUCUCUCUUCCUCCGGAGCGGCUCCCGAAAAGCUCCGUCACCACCUCUCCAUUUCUGUCCUUCACCAUCGACGACUCCAGCUCGCCAGUAGGAUCUUCGCACGAUACCUCGGAGGCGAAGAAGAAUUCAGAAGCGGUUUCAUGUUCAUCUUUGCUUUUCACUGGAAUCAACAGACCCUCGGACUUGGUGAGUCGGGGACCGAUGAAGCUCAAUUCGGCACAUUGAAACUCGGAUCCUCACCGUCAUCGUGGACGAUCUAGACUCUUAAUCUCUGAUAAUCUCAGGUUCUGAUCCAUCGUUUCUCGCUUCGUCGCUGAUAAUCUGUUUGCCGAAUUUUCCCCCAAGAAGCACGCGAUGCAGAGGAAGGACUAAGAAGCUGAUGACACGAGAGAGAAAGUGGAGCCGUGAAACAGAGCAGUCGCUUGCCAUCGUCCAACGCAGCUUCACCGUCGGCUUUAAUGCUCGUGGCCGGAUGCAGCGAUUGCGAGUUCAGGCGAUGACAAAAUCCAUCCGCUAACGGCCGCACUCACCCAGGUCAUUUUCGGCUACUGCAUCACAAAAUUCAACCAUCGAAUUUCAGCACUAGAGAAAAAUGCAAGGAGAGAAUCGGAUGAAUUCCAGGCGAUCGAUCCUACAGGUUUAGCUAAUGAUAGAGAGGCCCGUUGCAAGUUAGAACAGCUCCUAAGCUUGCCAUCAGGAAAUGCCGAACUCGGGCAGGUUUUUACUCUGAAAUCAAGAAAGGAGGGCCCUAAAUAUGUGCACAUUGUUCUUGCUUCUUCGUAUCAGAACGGCUCUCGCUUCUAACCUCAUGCAACUAUGGAGGCAACUUUUGUAAACUCAAGUUGGAACUAAUGCUUUCUCAAGAUAUUGCACAAAUAAGAAGUUUAUGGGCUGCAUUUUAGAUUAGAUCAAAGUACAUGGGCUAUGUAUGUUACUAUCCCUAUUAAGAGAUGUGAUUGAUUGAUAAAAAAAAAAAUACAUUUUUUUCUGGCCACAUCAUGUAAACAGACCGGCUUGGCUAGACCUAGAAGAUGUAGAAUACAAAAAUUGAGAGUUUGGCCCGAGGGCUUCUAAGAUGGUGCAGGAGAUGAAUGACACCAGGAAAGGCCCUCAAAGAAUGGAAUGACACUUUCAUUCUAGUCGGAUGGUCUUUUCCAUUCUUACAACUGCAACAUCGUAAGAGAAACUAUAUGGAGGUCGGUACAAAUUACAAGUUUUGUCUGUUGCAACAGUUUAAGAUAAGUUACUAUGCUGAUGUCAUUGACAUUCUCACGGUAUGAAGUCUAGAGCCAAACUUAUACGUGAAAAAGAAAAAUAAUAACUACAGGUAGAUUACUCCAGGAUCAGUCAAAUUACAAUGCUGGAGUCAUAUUACCAGGUACAAGAACUAUAAGGUAUGACCUUUAAGGAAAAUUAUAAUACAAGGAGUAACAUCUCUUAAGACGGAGUCAUUUACAUUUAGAGGAAGUAAUUUAAUUUACCUUUGAGUAAUUUAGCCUGAAAGUAAAGUUGGCUAUGCAGUAUAAAGUUCGUAAAUUAUAUUUUGUGCUCGUAAAUUAGCUUCUUAUAUCAUAACACUCAGUCACUUGCUAUAGCAGGUCAUUUUAUAUAUUCAAUGCAUACAGCAGGGGAUAAGGUCCCGAACUUUCCUAUCAUGGCAUAUUCAUUAUCAACAAAGUGCAAUUUCAGGCAAUACGGGCCUCCGAGACUUCUUAACUCGGUCUCGAUCCUCAGGGGCAUCAAUCCUCCUUGACAAUGAACUGAAUAAAGACUGAAAUAUAUAAGUUGUGAACCUUGAUAUCAAGCUCUUCAUUGCAUUGAUGCUUCUGUUCCCCCUCAA
rnacentral:lncRNA from 1 species